GACGAACGCUGGCGGCGUGCCUAAUACAUGCAAGUAGAACGCUGAAGGAGGAGCUUGCUUCUCUGGAUGAGUUGCGAACGGGUGAGUAACGCGUAGGUAACCUGCCUGGUAGCGGGGGAUAACUAUUGGAAACGAUAGCUAAUACCGCAUAAUAGCAGUUGUUGCAUGACAACUGUUUGAAAGGUGCAAUUGCACCACUACCAGAUGGACCUGCGUUGUAUUAGCUAGUUGGUGGGGUAACGGCUCACCAAGGCGACGAUACAUAGCCGACCUGAGAGGGGGGUCGGCCACACUGGGACUGAGACACGGCCCAGACUCCUACGGGAGGCAGCAGUAGGGAAUCUUCGGCAAUGGACGGAAGUCUGACCGAGCAACGCCGCGUGAGUGAAGAAGGUUUUCGGAUCGUAAAGCUCUGUUGUAAGAGAAGAACGAGUGUGAGAGUGGAAAGUUCACACUGUGACGGUAGCUUACCAGAAAGGGACGGCUAACUACGUG
rnacentral:rRNA from 1 species